CAUAGAAAUGGAUAGAAAAACGAGAAAUUCCGCACUAUCUUCGAGCAAGAAUCCCUUGAUCGACUUCAGCAAACCUGAUACGACUACAGAACACGAAAUGAAAAAAACCAAAUGGACAUCAAGAAUGCUGUUCAAGACGUUUCCCACGAGAGAAUCACAGAAAACCACACCACAGAGAAAAUCAUGCAACAACAAAAAGUGCAUAUUGAUGCUAAUUUUAUUUAUUUGCUGGGUUUCGACAUUUAGCAAAUUGAUUUCAUAAUAAUCAUGAAAUGAAAUGUUCAUGCCAUUUCAUCUCUAGUUAUGAUCAACUAAAAUCAACUAUAUUUGUUUUUGUAUAAAAUGCAAAGUACAAAUUUCUAUACUUUCUGUGAAUGUUAUUUUCUCUGACACACACACACACACACACACACAUGUAUAUUAGGCUAUUACUAUGCUGUUUUGUAAUGCAAAUUAGUAUGAAAUUAAAACUAUUCUAUUUGAGGGCAAGUUUGUUUGAACCUAUUUUCAUUUUAGGCCUAAGGUUUUGGGCAUCUGGCACAUUGUUGGGUGUAGAAGGUUACCAAUGUGAUUGCUUUACCUGUAAAUUAAAUUAAUGCUUUUCAAUUACUGAA